CACUGUAAAGCAAGGGGAUCAAGUCAUCCUUACAUGUAUACAUUUUUCCCCCACCAUUGUUCUGUUGCAAUAUGAAUAUCUAGACAUAGUUCUCAAUGUGAGCAGUUUUUUAAUUAGAAAGCUCCCUGGCCUCAUUCCAGACAUUGGUCACCAAGUCCGCUAUUACAUUGGAUGAUUAAAGGUAUGUGGAUAUCAAGGAGAGAGCAGGCAGGGAAUUACAUUUGAUGGGCUCCAUUAGUCUUCUGUAGUUCAGGUAAGGUCAGCACAGGAUAUUGUUCAAACUCUAAAUUCUGGUACUUUGUUCCUGGGCAUAGAUGCUCUAACAUUCAGCGGUUUUUGCUGCCUUUUGAAAGGUGUCAAACUCAUAAUCUCACACAGAGUACACCAGAAUGAGGGACACUGACCAGCUCUAACCCAUCUCUAGGCACUAGGUCAUCUUGUCUCAAAAGACCUGUAUAAAAGUAGGCUAUUUCAUGCAAGGAAACUGCAGUUAGGAAAAUUACAUAUGUGCUUUAGACCACUCACAGGUAAAGGGUGGUGCCUGGUCAGGAGCUCUGGUUUUGCUCUUAACCCUUACACAGCCCUGCUUCCUUCAGAAAAAGUGUGGGGUGGAGUUCCCGUCGUGGCUCUGUGGUUAAUGAGCCCGACUAGUAUCCAUGAGGCUGUGGGUUCCAUUCCUGGCCUCGAUCAGUGGGUUAAGGAUCUGGCGUUGCCAUGAGCUGUGGUGUAGGUCGCAGAAGCAAUUCGGAUCCCAUGUUGCUGUGGCCCUGACGUAGGCCAGCGGCUACAGCUCCAAUUAGACCCCUAGCCUGGGAACCUCCGUAUGCCAUGGGUGCAGCCCUAAAAAGACAAAAAGAAAAAAAGAAAAAAAAGUGAGAGGAAAAAGCUAACCUUUCUCUAUUCUCGCCAUAUAUUUUGAAAUUUGAACAGUCCUUGAAUUUAUUUCCUUUUUUCUGAUUUAAAAAUUGAAAUCGUUUAUUAUCCCUCAAUCAGGAGGAAACACUGUCGAAUUUUUUUGUGUACUUUCUAUCUCAUUUCUUUGCAUACAUGUGUGUAUGUGUAUAAAUCAAAUUGGUAUUUUUAUUACUUAGCCACUUUUCUUUUGAUGGACACUAGAGAGGUUGCACGCCCUGGACCAAUGCAGAAUACAAAGCAUUUUUGUUAAUUAGCUAUCUAUGCCAUAUUGGGCUUUUCAUUCCUUUUUGUAUCACAAGAUCGUUUCUCUUGCUGAUUCAUCUCCUGCCAUAUCUUUUACAUUCUCUCUAUGUCCAUUGCCACUUCUCUGUACAACUCUUGUUACCUUUCUUCCCUUCCUUUCCUCCAAAACUGUCCUCAUAAAGGUUGCUGAAGUUCUAGUUAUUAAUAAUCCAGUGAUGCCCAGUUUAUCUAUUUGUUUCACUUGUUCCUGUGCGUCUAUUAUUUUGGUACUAAGAAACCAUCAAGGAUACAAAGAGUCAUGGCCUAUGUGCUCUUCUGAGAGUUUUAUAGUUUUAGUUCUUACAUUUAGCUGUUACAAAAAGGCAUUUAUUAAGGGGGUAUUUUACAGAAUUAGGAGGGUUUGAAGAAAUGGACUCUAGCUUUGGCUUCCAGGAACAACCCUCUCGAUCACAUUAUAGAACUGGGUUGCCAGAGAGAUGUGGUCUUGACCAUGACCACGAAGCUGGUAUGCCCCUCUAGCUCCAGAACCACCCUAUCCUGCCAUGGUCUCCACCAGCAAAAUGAUUGCCUUGUGUCCCAUCCAUCUUCCACAUUCAACUCAGAGCCUCAGUCUCUUCAUUUAUAAACUGUGAGGGGCAUCUACCUCCAGGGUGUAUCUAGCACAUUUCACAAUUCGUGGGGCCUAAGCACAUGCCAGUGAUAUGGAUGUAGAUUGUAAAUGACUCGUUAGGACUUACCGGUGCCAACCAGCUGAAUAUUAACAGUCUUGACAGUAUUACAAGAAUUAAAUGAGCUUGGUACUGUAAUGCCAAGUGACAAGGGUUAUUUGAUGGUCCUGGGUACCUAUGGCAUGCCUGGUCUGACUGAGAUUACUCAGGGUAGCAGUGGUCAGACAGGUGAAAAUCCUAGAAACACCCCCCAAGACCUUAAAAGAGAGAGAAUGCUCUCACAGAUACAGACAAGAAUCUAAGCACUUGGACUCCUGCCUCUGAGCUCUCGACCUGAGCAUAACCUGGGCACACAGGAAAGAGAGCUGGGUGGUGUUUGGUCAGUCAAGGGGGAGACUGCUCCAGUUCUCAACUGUUAUUCUAGCAAAACAGGUGGAUGGAUUUGAGCCCAAGAGGUAAGAAGUGAGCAAAAUAACCAGGAUCGUUAGGCUUUGGGGUAUGCUUUGCAUGAGAAUGAUGGACACUAAACCUGUCGGAAGGAAAGGCGUGUACAGGAGUAAACAUGCCAGAGACUGGAGUCCAGAACCUUGAAAGUUUAAUGAGGACAGUUAGUGAAGCAGUACCCUGUGAUGAAUCACAUCAAAAGCACUGCUUAAAUCAAGUGGGAUCAUGGUGGACAAUACCAUUUAAUUUAACUGCUUAAAGGUCAUUUGAAACUCUUAAUAGUGCACUGGCAGGAGGACUUGGCUUCUAAAUCCAGGCAGAUAAAGGUGCAUUAGGUCUCCAGAGUGGAGGACUUAAGAUCUGAGCCAGCCCGGCAGAGCUGGUGCACCUGAAUAGAUGAGAAGAAGCAAGAGGAGACAGAUGAAAGUGAAAUGGAGUCACUGCGGGUUUUUUACUUCUUUUAAUUUUUUAGAGAUCUCCUCACUGGAGGGCCUAAAAAGUGAUGUUAAGAAAGUAAUAAAUGAGUACAAGGUUAUUACAGGGAAUAUUGCUGUCAUGUUUUGUGAGCAAAUGAACAUGUUAUAUAAGUAGUUAUAAUGGCGGUACACAAGGUAGAGUUUCAUAUUUUCAGAAAAUAAAGAUUACAACUGAAUGUAUCUGGUGCAUAUUUAAUGAAGAGCAUAAUCAAGGGAUAUUGGAGCUGUAAAGGAACCGGCCAGUUGUCAGGUUCAGCCUCCUCAUUUGUGCAAAUGAGGAAAACAAAUUUGGAGAUGACUCUGGUAUCCUGAGUUUACACAGU
rnacentral:lncRNA from 1 species